UUUGACUAUAAUUUAAAGUAGGGCCUGCCCACUGAGUAUUUGAAGGGCCGCAGUAUUUUGACUGUGCAAAGGUAGCAUAAUCAUUAGUUUUUUAAUUGAAAGCUUGAAUGAAUGGUUUGAUGAGAAAAUAACUUUCUAUAUUUAAUUUAUUAAAAAUUUUAUUUUUAAGUUAAAAAGCUUAAAUAUUUUUAAUAGACGAGAAGACCCUAUAGAGUUUAAUUUUAAUAUGAUUUUUAAUUUAUAGAAUUUUUUAAUUAUAAUUUUUAUUAGAAUUUGAUUGGGGUGAUUAAAAAAUUAAAAUAACUUUUUUUAAAUUUAUACAUAAAUUUAUGGUUAAUUGAUCCAUAUAAAUGAUUAAAAGAUUAAAUUACCUUAGGGAUAACAGCGUUAUUUUUUUUUAGAGUUCAAAUCGAAAAAAAAGAUUGCGACCUCGAUGUUGGAUUAAAGUUAAUUUUAGGUGUAGAAGCUUAAAAAUUUGGUCUGUUCGACCAUUAAAACUUUACA
rnacentral:rRNA from 1 species